AUACGUAAGUGGCGAGCGUUAUCCGGAAUUACUGGGCGUAAAGCGUUCGUAGGCGGCGUGGCAAGUUGGAUUUGAAAGCCCGGGGCUCAACUCCGGACCCGGAUCCAAAACUGCCAUGCUAGAGCAGAUCAGAGGGCAGUGGAAUUCCCGGUGUAGCGGUAAUAUGCGUAGAGAUCGGGAGGAACACCAGUGGCGAAGGCGGCUGCCUGGGGUCUUGCUGACGCUGAGGAACGAAAGCUAGGGGAGCGAACGGGAUUAGAUACCCCGGUAGUCCUAGCUGUAAACGAUGGGCACUAGGUGUCGGGAGCUUCGACCCUCUCGGCGCCGCCGCUAACGCAUUAAGUGCCCCGCCUGGGGACUACGGCCGCAAGGCUAAA
rnacentral:rRNA from 1 species